AUAAUACUCCAUAGAUUAGAGAUACUGGAAUGUUCUUUAGUCAAAAGUUCUGGCGCCUUAGGAUGGAUCUGCGGUCGAUUAGGUUUGUUGUUGGGGUAACGGCCCAACAAGCCUGUAAUCGAUACGGGUUGUGGGAGCAAUAGCCCGGAGAUGGAAUCUGAGACAAGAUUCCAGGCCCUACGGGGCGCAGCAGGCGCGAAAACUUUACAAUGCAGGAAACUGUGAUAAGGGAACCCCGAGUGCCCGUAUACGCGGGCUGUCCAGGUGUUUAAAAGUCAUCUGAAGAAAGGGCCGGGCAAGACCGGUGCCAGCCGCCGCGGUAAUACCGGCGGCUCGAGUGGUGGCCACUAUUAUUGGGCUUAAAGCGUCCGUAGCUGGACUGAUAAGUCUCUUGGGAAAUCCGCCGGCUCAACCGGCGGGCGUCUAAGGGAUACUGUUGGUCUAGGGACCGGGAGAGGUGAGAGGUACUCCGGGGGUAGGAGUGAAAUCCUGUAAUCCCCGGGGGACCACCGAUGGCGAAGGCAUCUCACCAGAACGGCUCCGACAGUGAGGGACGAAAGCUGGGGGAGCAAACCGGAUUAGAUACCCGGGUAGUCCCAGCCGUAAACUAUGCGCGUUAGGUGU
rnacentral:rRNA from 1 species